rnacentral:misc_RNA from 1 species
AACGCAUCUUGCGCUCCUUGGUAUUCCGAGGAGCAUGCCUGUUUGAGUGUCAUUAAGUUCUCAACUGCACUAGUUCUUUCUGGUGCAGCUUGGAUGUGGGGGUGUUUUUUUGCAGGCUUUUCAAAGUCGGCUCCCCUGAAAUGCAUUAGUGGUCUCCUAGCAGAGAAACUGCUACAGGUGUGAUAAUUAUCUAUGCCUUUAGUACUCUGCAAGAAUGGAUUGCACUGCUUCUUAACAAGUGAAUCCCUGUUAUGGGGAGUGCACAUUUGACAAAUUUGACCUCAAAUCAGGUAGGACUACCCGCUGAACUUAA